rnacentral:rRNA from 1 species
CUCCGGUUGAUCCUGCCGGACCCGACUGCUAUCGGAUUGGGAUUUAGCCAUGUUAGUUGUGCGUUCCUUGGCUACAGGGGACGCAGCAUACGGCUCAGUAACACGUAGUCAACCUGCCCUGGAGACGUGGACAAACCCGGGAAACUGGGGCCUAUCCGCGAUAGAUGACCUCAUCUGGAAGGAGUGGUCGUCCAAAGGGCGGCACGGGUAUGCUCCGUGCCUUUCGCUCCAGGAUGGGACUGCGGCCGAUCAGGCUGUUGGCGGGGUAAUGGCCCACCAAACCUGUAACCGGUACGGGCUUUGAGAGAAGGAGCCCGGAGAUGGACACUGAGACAAGGGUCCAGGCCCUACGGGGCGCAUCAGGCGCGAAAACUUCGCAAUGCGCGAAAGCGUGACGAGGCUAGUCCGAGUGCUUCCUGCUAAAGGGAGCUUUUCUCGGCUGUAAAAAGGCCGGUGAAUAAGGGGAGGGCAAGUCUGGUGUCAGCCGCCGCGGUAAUACCAGCUCCUCGAGUGGUCGGGGCGAUUAUUGGGCCUAAAGCAUCCGUAGCCUGUUCUGUAGGUCCUCUGUUAAAUCCAACGGCUUAACCGUUGGCCCGCAGAGGAUACCGCAGGACUAGGAGGCGGGAGAGGUGGACGGUACUCCACGUGUAGGGGUAAAAUCCUUUGAUCCGUGGAAGACCACCAGUGGCGAAGGCGGUCCACCAGAACGCGCUCGACGGUGAGGGAUGAAAGCUGGGGGAGCGAACCGGAUUAGAUACCCGGGUAGUCCCAGCCGUAAACGAUGCGAGCUAGAUGAUCCGGUCGCAAAUCGCGAUCGGAGUGUCGCAGGGAAGCCGUUAAGUUUGCCGCCUGGGAAGUACGGACGCAAGUCUGAAACUUAAAGGAAUUUGGCGGGGGAGCA